rnacentral:rRNA from 1 species
UACGUAGGGUGCGAGCGUUGUCCGGAAUUAUUGGGCGUAAAGAGCUCGUAGGCGGUCUGUCGCGUCUGCUGUGAAAACUCGGGGGCUUAACCCCGGGCCUGCAGUGGGUACGGGCAGACUAGAGUGCGGUAGGGGAGACUGGAAUUCCUGGUGUAGCGGUGAAAUGCGCAGAUAUCAGGAGGAACACCGGUGGCGAAGGCGGAUCUCUGGGCCGACACUGACGCUGAUGCGCGAAAGCCAGGGGAGCGAACGGG